GAGUACUUUUAAAGAUGUAAGCUGCAACAUGGAGAUGCCACAUCACUUCCUCACAACUUCAUUUAGCAGCUAGAUUUAAUCAUUUUGAAGGAGGGACUAAUGUUUCCCAGCAUUAUAUGUUCAAUCCACUAGAUGUCCUCACAUGCAGCUAUAGCUGCUGAGUUUCUUUACAACACUCAUAAAAACAAAAUGUUUGGUUUGCUGCUUUUGCUCUUGCUUCUUCCAUUAGAUUUGGGAUUAAAACAGUCACCUGAUUUCUUUGUAACUGAGGAUCUCAAUGUGACUAUAUCAUGUUCCCAGAUUGGAACAUCACACAACAGCAUGUACUGGUUCAGACAAACAUCUGCUGAGCCGCUGGAGCAGAUAGUGUAUUCCUAUGUUAAAUCACUCACCUGGGAAAAGAAUUUUGAAAAGAGAGCAUCUGCUGCAAGGAAUGGGGCAUCUUUAGACCUGACUCUUUUCAAAGUACAGAGCUCUGACAGUGGCGUUUACUUCUGUGCAAAGCAGGAUGCACAGCAGUAUAGCCCAAUCUAUAAGUUCAACAAAAACAUGCAGUCCUUCCCCUGCAGAUAAACAUCUAACACCUGCUCGCCUGCUGGCUGUGGGUGAAUUUCUACAUGCAGGGAUGAGUAGAUAAAGUAUUUGCAUUUGUUUUGUAUUAUUAUUUUAGUUUAC